CCUCAACUGGUCUGCCCACCGUGGCCUCCCAAAAUGUUGGGAUUACAGGCGUGAGCCACUGCGCCUGGCCUUUUGAGACAUCUGUUGACUGUAAGUACAUUCAGAUUUGUCUGUUGGCUGCCUGAUACUGUCCAAUGGGAUAUGUUUCUGUUUUUAUGCCAGUUGCUUGCUGCCUCAGUAAGUGUAACUUUUCGAUGUAAUUUGACAUUGGGGAGCAUGAGGCAUUCAAGUGAGUUUUUAUUUCUGGAAAGUGCUUUGGAUUUUCAGGGUCUUCCAUGGUUCUAUGUGAAUUUUGCCAUUGUUCAUUUAUAGAUUUAAAACUGGGUUUGUCAUACAUGUCCAAAAUUAGGGAGUACAGUGGGAUUUUUUUUACUUGCGUACUUUGAGGAAUGAUGAAGUCAGGGUGUUUUGCAUAUCUAUUCCCAUGUCUAGUUUUUAUUUGUCUGUGAUGUGAACCUUCAAUUUUCCUCUCCUUUCUAGCUCUGUUGAAAGAGAUCCUACCAUAUUGUUACUUGUAGUCACCCUCCUGUGGAGUAGAUCACCAGCAUUAAUUCCUCCCCAGAAGUGCAACUUGGUACCUAUUACCAAUGCCAGCCCAUGCUCUGUCCUCCCAACAGCAUCUGAUAACCACUAUUGUACUUCCACUUUCCAUUAGAUAAUUCUUUUUUAGUCUCCUCAUGGGUGAGAUGAUGCAGUGUUUGUCUUUCCCUGCCUCACUGAUUCCGUUGAAUAUAACGUCUUCCAAGUUUAUCCGUGUUGCCACAAUGGACGUUCUGUCAUCGAUGUUUGUUGAUGGGGCAUAUUUCGUUGUAUCUGUAUGCUGAAGUUCCUUCAUCCCUUCAUCAGUUGAUGGACAGGUGCAGCCAUGUUGUGGGAAAUGAAAAAUGCCCUGAAUUUUGAUGGCUGAAAAGUAUUCCAUUGUGCCUGUGUCCUGGAGAUUCUUCAUCCCUUCAUCUGUGAAUGGACAGGACUGGGCAGAGGACCUGAAGACAUGAGAUUUAUGCACAGGUCAAAGAGAAGAUUCCCACCAUUGCUGAUGCACACAAAAGCGUUUCUCCAAGUGAUUGCAGAUGACAUGAUUUCCUGAAGUGUUACAGCUGAAGUGUGUUUCCUUGUGUACAUGUACUGUGGUUCCUUUAUCCCUUCAUCUGUGGAUAGACAGGUGCAACCAUGUGGUUCCCCACGAUAGGAUUUCAUUGUGGUUUUCUGUGUGAAGAGUAUCCCGGUGUGUACAUGUGGAGCAGCUUCUUUCUCCCUUCGUCUGUGGAUUAGCAGGUUUCUGCAUGUUGCUGCAGAUGACAUGGUUUCGUGAAUUUCUAUGGCUGAAGAGGAUUCCAUUGUGUACUGCAGUUUCUUUAUCCCUUCAUCUGUGCAUGAACAGGCGUUGUCACGGUGUUUGUUAGCUGUUGGGCAAUGGCACCCUGUGAAUCAGCAGCCUACAUGAAGAGCAUCAUCCCUGCAAUCCUCACAAAUCACCCUCAUGGUAGAGAAGAGACACGGGCUUUUGGAUUUCACAUGGCUGCUGAACAGCACCUGGGUCAGAAGGGAGCACCUUCCACAGGGAGGACUGCAUGAAAUUCCCUCUAGGCCACCUGAGGCUCCACCUCUGAUAUGGAGGGGAAGGGCCUGGAGAGGCCUGGUCCCCUCUUCAUUUUAGCAGCAGGGCACAGGACAAGAUGCUCUAGUAGAAGAACCUUUUGACUUAAAGGGAUAGGAUUGUUUUUGUUCUUUCAACAUGAACGUGAGUCUGGAGAAACAGCUAUGGCCAUCCCAGCCCUGGGCAAGGGGAAGAUGCCGGAAAACUCCAGGGUGGGAGGAAGCACAUCCCAAGGCCCAAGAUCUGCCAGACAACUGGAGAAGAGAAAAUGCAGGCAGGUAUUGAAGCCGUGAAAGGUUACGCAAAUGUACGUUUGAAACUGGAAAUGAAACAAGGUGAUUUUCUCUGCCACACGAACAACAGAUUGGCAAAACGUUAAAGCAUGUUAGUGUUCAGGGGAGGCUGCGUUCAGAGAAGCAGCUACCUUCAGAGGCUGCUGGUGACUGUGUAACCAGCUGGAACUCUUUUGGACAGUCAACUGGCUAGAGAUGUUGAAACUUGAUGACUGCAUAUCCUUUCACCCAGAUAUCCCUUUCCCGGGUGUCUAUCUUCCGCAGGGGAUUUGUGUAUUUUAUGGAUUGAAUUGUGUCCCCUCCCCCAAAUGUAAAUGUUUCUAUUCUCAACCCCAGAGACUCAGAAUGUGACUGUGUCUGGACACAGAGUUCUCCAAGAGGUAAUUCAGGUGAAGUGAGUUCAUUAGGGUGGCCCCUAAUUUAAUAUGCCUGGGGUUCUUACAAGGAGAGGUGGUGAGCGCACAGAGAAGUUGGAGAGAAGACCCUGUGCUGACCGAGAUAGAAGUCAGCCAUCUCCAAGGCAAGGAGAGAGGCCCAGACAAACCACCCCAGUCUGACAGCUUGACAUUGGAGUUCCAGUCUCCAGAAUUGUGAGGAACCAGAUUUCUGUGGUUAAGCCCUUCAGUCAGCGUGGCAUGUUAUGGCAGUCCUGGCAAACUGCUCCAGCCUGUUAGGACACACAUAGGAUUAUGCUCCCUGCAGAACGGCUUCCUAGAAAGGGAAUUUUAUCAUGACAUGCUCCACCAGCAUUGAGAGGCUGACCCGCUGCGGAACAUGGCCUCCCUUAAGGAAUAUUACAGUGAGAUGUGAGGGUACAGCUCCUGCCCGAUUGGCCUGCAGGGAUGAGUUCUGUGAGAUGACACUUUAAAGACAAAUGCAUGGAGUAGCUUCACCUUCUGUUGCUGUAGUCAACCCCCCCCCACCCUUGUUUGUGUAAAAGUUCUGUAUUUUAAGUCCUGGAGGAGGUCUGGCAGGGCAGCAGAGCUGCCUGUUUGUUGCCCGAGAUACCCUUAGGGUGGGGAGUUAAAAUGAUAACAGUAUGAGUAUGUUGCUAUUGUUACCAUUAUUGUGGCAUGAAUUCUUGUGGCAACAUGCUGAGAUACUUCUGGCAUAGCAUAAAGUGAAAACAGAAGGAUUUUCUCUGAUCUUCCUCUGAUAGGUGAGAGGGACUUUGCCUGUAACCAAGUUGUCACUGGGGACUGAUGGCAGCUAGAUUGCUUUGGGAUAGGACAGUGGGUCACUAAAGUGGGAAAGCCCUAGGACAGAGCUUAGGGAGUCCCCAUAUUUGUGUUGGAGUCCUGGGCCCACCCUGGUUUUCUGGAGUCCCUGUCUGUGGAGACCCUUCUGUGCCCCGUCUCACCCCAGACCAUCACUGGCCGUUGUUGGUGGCAUGGUGCACCUGUCCUUUAACAAAGUUGGAGAAAUGGAAUCCAUCCAGCAGCUCCUGCUUUAUCCACUGUGUGGAGCUCUACAAAGAGAGUGCCCGAGAGCCGGGCCAAGAGGUGUCAGUGGCCUGUCUGGUUGACCCCACAAUGGGAUACCCCCAUUAGAACUUCUCCUAGCCCCCCCCCUUCCCCAACAAUAUUUGCCACAUAGGAGCAUCUGCAUAGACCUCCAGCCAGAGAAGGUUGAGUUCUCUGGCAGAUGACAGCUUGAGGUCUUGGGAUUCAGAUCUGAGUAGACAAAGUGUGUCCUCAACGCUCACCUUCCCACCCUGCCAGGCAUGGUCUGGGCUGUGAACCUGACAGGCUCCAAACACCUGACAACCAGCCUGCUUCUGUCCAGGGAGGGCCCCUCAUCUCCUGUUUCCCCCAUACACAUGGGGAGGGGCUCGGCGCUGCCCAGACGGGCAGAGCUGAGGCCUGGCCUGGACGGGCCUGCCCUGGGCCCUGUGUUACCUGAGGGUGCCUUCUGGCAAAGGGCCAGAGGCGUCGAGGGUGAGGGUUGAACCAAUGUCUAUAUUCUUGAGAAAGACUCUCAUUUUGGCCUCUCCUGCGACGAGGAGGUCGGCAGCAUGUCGGGACACAGCAGGAGAACAUGUUGUUCUCCGGAGUGUCGCCCACCAAAUGAGCUGGAAAUGGGGCUGUGUGUAUAAUAUGGGUGCCUAGUUACCAGAAUUCUAAGUUCUAUUGGGGAUCUGUCAGCAAGGAAGUGAGGUCACAUCUUGCAGGUUCCAUCCUGUAAGCUCCUCCUUUCCAUGAGACCUACUCACAGGUCCCUCUGGGUUUCUGAUCGCUCACCCUCCCCCAUCAACUCCUUAGCUUUCACCGUUAAGCAAAAGUGUGCCUCUUCAGCACCUUGGGAAGAGAAGACCGGAAUAUAACCAUUCUCCCAGAUUUUGCACACCCUGCAAGAUGGAAGAACUACAAGAAGGGGUGAGAAGUAGCAUGGAAUACAACUCCAGUGGGCCUGGGGUCCACAGUGUGAUCUCAGGAAAAACUAAUUUUGCUCUGGGCCUCGUCUUUCACUCUCCACCAGUAGAGGUUGAGAUUAAAUGAAAUUCAGACAUCCUCUUCUGACAUUGCACCUUCCAGUGCGUUCCCAUUUUAUUUAGAACCAGACCCUGUGCCUCAUCUCAGCCUUGGGUGGGUAGUAUCCACAAAGACAGCACUGAGGGGUUAGUGACUCCCUUCUGAAUGAUGGAAUAGGACACAAAUGGUGGAAUAGCACUUCUGAGCUAGUUCAGGCUGUUACGGCCAAGAUCCGUAGCCUGGGGAGCUCAUCAAGAAGAGAAUUGUGUUUCUCCCAGUUCUGGAGGCUGGAAGUUGGAGAUCAGGGUACCAGCCUGGUCAGGCCUUAGUGAGUACACUUCUGUCCCAUUCACUGAGCUUUUACAGGUGCUGUCCUUUCCUUGGAGGAUGGCUCAACUUUAGGAGCAUGGGUAGAUCUCCAUUCAAAGCCCAGUUCUCACUUGUAGCUUGGUGAUCGUGAGGAAGUCAUAGAACAUCCCUGUGCCUGUUUUCUCCUCUGAGAAAUGGUGUUAGUGAGAAUUGCUUCACUUUUUAAUUACAGAAAAUAAAGCAUGCAAAGAAGUUAACUCGGUGCCAUUGGGCAGAGAGUGAGAGUCCAGCAAACCAGAGAGAUCAGCUUGCCCACAACAGUGGCAAGGAGUGCGGAGAGUGGGUGAGGCUGGGGCAGAAAGCAGGCCAGCCUGCCAGAGCCCAGGAACAGGUGAAGGGCAAGAGUGAGCUCCUCACCCUGAAUUCUCAGGGGACACAGGCAUGCAGGGUUUGUGGGGAGCACAAUCAUCAGGACUGCCCUCAUUCCCCUGGUUCCCUCCAUAUCUGAUGUGGUCCCAGGGCCCCCUCUCCCUGUGUUUCCUCUCUGCCCUGUUUUCUUCCUGGCUGCCCUCCCAGGACUCAUUUUGGGCCCUGGUCAGGUGGAGUCUUGAGGUAACUAUAGGCUCCUCUGAGGUUCAACCUACCGUUUGUUGAGACCUCUGAGCUUAGAAACCACCUCCAGCCUAUACCCGAGAGAGGGCUGGAGGGAGCUGACAGUGCAAUGGCGGUUUUCCCUGGGGCAGCCACUCCAGGGCCUGCUGGCAGGUAUCUGCUGAACUUGAGCUUUCUUUUGGGCCUCUGGGGUUCUGAGGUGUGAUUUUCCCUCUUAAGAUAGGCUGAUCCCCCAGUGGGUGCCUUAGCCUCAGAAAUGGUUCCCGCUGAGCUGGGAGCUGUGCUCUACCUUCAGUUUCCUAGGACACCUCACCCUGGCCCUGCCCAUUCUGACUUCCAAAACCCAAAGAGAGGGUCUGUAGAAAUUGCUAGAUAGGAAAGGGCUACAAAUAAGUCAUUGGAGGUGUAUUUACAUAACAAAUGUUUUUUAGUCAUUACUAUACAUCUACCUCAGCAAAGGCAAUAUUUAAAAAUGUUAAUACCCUGAGUCACCCUACAGAGAGUUGUAUUUAUUUGAUGGCGCAGGAGACAGUCAUGUUCUGUUUUGUUUUUUCUUUUUUGAAAUGGGAUCUUGUGGUGUUUGCCCAGGCUGUAGCAGAGUUGCAUGAUCAUAAGCAGCCUUGACCUCCCAGGCUCAAGGAAUCCUCCCUUCUCAGCCUUUCAAGUGGCUGGGACUUGAGAGUCCACCACCAUGCCAUGCCAUAUUUUUUUGUAGAGGCAGGGUCUCACUGUUCCACCCAGGCUUGUCUUCAAGUCCUAGCCUCAAGCUGUCCUACUGCCUCGGCCUCCCACAAUCGAGUUGACAGACAUAAGCCACUGUGCCUGGCCAUGUUUCUUUUAAGA